rnacentral:rRNA from 1 species
UACGAGGGGGGCAAGCGUUGUCCGGAUUUAUUGGGCGUAAAGCGCGUGUAGGCGGCCAGGUAGGUCCGCUGUGAAAACCCGAGGCUCAACCUCGGGACGUCGGCGGAAACCAUCUAGCUAGAGUCCGGAAGAGGAGAGUGGAAUUCCCGGUGUAGCGGUGAAAUGCGCAGAUAUCGGGAAGAACACCCGUGGCGAAGGCGGCUCUCUGGGACGGUACUGACGCUGAGACGGCGAAAAGCGUGGGGAGCGAACAGG